UAACGCGUGGGUAACCUGCCUCAUACAGGGGGAUAACAGUUAGAAAUGACUGCUAAUACCGCAUAAGCGCACAGUGCUGCAUGGCACAGUGUGAAAAACUCCGGUGGUAUGAGAUGGACUCGCGUCUGAUUAGCUAGUUGGUGGGGUAACGGCCUACCAAGGCGACGAUCAGUAGCCGGCCUGAGAGGGUGAACGGCCACAUUGGGACUGAGACACGGCCCAA
rnacentral:rRNA from 1 species